ACGAGUUGUGCCUUCUGAGAUGCCGUUCUGCACACCACUGUUGUACCGCGCCGUUAAUUUAAACCCCAAGACACUGCCAUGAAAAUCCCAGAUGGGCGGCCGUUUCUGAGAUACUGGAUCCGGCGCGCCCGUCACCAACGAUCAUACCACGCUCAAAGUUGUUUAGGUCACUCGUUUUGCCCCUUUUAACUUCAAUUGAACAGUAACUGAAUGCCUUGAUGCUUGUAUGCCCGCUUUAUAUAGCAAGCCAUGGCCAUGUGACCCACUGUCUGUAGGAGCCAUACAUUUUUGUGAAAUUGGUGGUGUAGCUAAUAAACUGGCUGGCGAGUGUAUGCGUGUACAUUGUACUAUUCAUUUGAUGUGAGAGAGACUGAAAGUCUGUCUAUUUGUUGUCCCUUUUGUACUUAAAUUAUUUGCCAGUAA